rnacentral:lncRNA from 1 species
GUCAGAUGUUACACAAAGAAGAAAACGAGAUCAGCAACAUCGGCUCCGAGCGCUGAUGGGAACGCAGGCACGGGGCGAACACAAGGGCAUCGCGGGGACAGCCCUGGGCCACGCAGCUGAGCCUUGGUGCGGCAAGCCCAGCGAGCCAAACCCCCGGCUAACAGCUGGGACGUGUGGUUUUCCUGAAGGAUGGCAUCCCUGCCUCGAUUCUUUGCCACUUUUUUCCUAUUUUCCAUUCUCCUCACUAGAAGGAUUUUUUUUUCCACACGUUUAGCACGUCAGUGAGUUGCCUGCUUCCAUCCCCUCCACACAGAACAAAGCCUCUCCUCUAGCUCAGGUGAACUCAGCCAUCACUGCCCAGAAGCGCCCAGGCCGUACUGAGCGUGCCUCUCCUGAGCAGCGCUCCACCUGACCGGAUCCUGCACCCCAGCAGGUGAGCAGAUACCAAGGCAGAGACCGGCUUCGAGGUGAGCUGGUGCACCCCGAUCCCUGGGGCGGACUGAGCAAGGCCUGUGUUUGUUUAGGCUAGAGAGCAAGGAUGGAAGGGAGAGAGGAUGGCAGCUUUUAAAUUCGUAAAAGGCUGUUUCAGAGGGCAAGGAGCAUCCCUCGCAGCCCCCGCUGCCACAUGCAGGGGAAUGCCCUUGCACGCACCUAGGUGUGAUCCCUUUUGCCAGACGAGAUGUUUCCACACCCCCUGGUGAGCUGCAUGGAGCAGAGCAGCGCCGCUGUCCCAGAGCGCGAGCACAGCCUGGACAUGCAGGCACCACACAGUGCCUGCGCAGUGCGAUGGAAACCACCAGCCCCGUUCAGACGCCAAGGCUUUGCGGGAUGGGUCAUCUCCCCUCCUGUGGCAUCCCCCAGCAGUAUCCCCAGCCCACGCAUCUGCUUUCACAUCCUUCCAGUGUCUGGAUCUCACCAGCCCCAGCAGCUGCCAGUCCAGGAGGAGGAGGAGGACAGGGGCUGGCACCAGCAGCACACCCAGCCCUGGCUGCCCAAGUGCCCGUCUGCUCCCUGGUGUUCGUGUCAGGGUGGCCCAGAGCUGGCUGCGAGCCUACGGCAGCUGCACAGUCCCCGUGCACCCAAGGGUCCCUGCAGGUGUCCGCAGCACCAGGAGCUGCGGUGCUCGGUGCCGGCUUACCUCCACGGGGCUGCUGGAGCCCGGGCGGUGUCAGAGCAGCGCUCGGCGACUGGAGGCUACCGGGAGUCCAGGGGAAAGAGAGCAGCAAGGCAGCCCCUGCGGCUCUCCGGGCACGUGGCAGGGAUCACCAGGACAAGGAAACUCGACUGCAAGGAUCCUGUUGUCAGAGGAUGUUUUUUUUCUGUGCCAGUGCGGAAAUUUGGUGGUCCAACAGGUGAAGCAGCUUCUUAGAGAAACCUCCUGCCCUGGCAUUAAAAAGGAGAAGCUGGGUUAUUAACAGUUUCUGCCUCGCAGCUGUAGCAGCGACCAGAGCAGAAAGGAACAGCCCAACACGCCCCAAAGAGGCUGAUGUUCAGCCGCCCAGACUCACAGCAUCCUUGAGGAGCUCUGCUCUCUGCUCUCCAGGUCCUGGCUCUCGGAGAGCCACCACGGCUGGUGCGGUGACCUGCAGGCAUGGCACCCGGCAGCCAGACGGCUACGGCAGAGCCAAGGCGGGAGGCAGAGGGAAACCUCGCUGCGGAGAGAAGGCAAAGGGAACUGGCCUGGGAAGGGGCACAGGAAGAGGAGCCAGGAGCCAGGAGUGAGCUCAGCACAGCGACAGGCACGGACAGCCCACGUGGAGCAGGACGGGCGGUGCUGCCGCCCUUCACCUUCCGAGCAAGGCAGCAGCCGGCCGGGCAGAGCCGAGGUUUCCCCCCCAGAAAGCAGAGGGCUCUUCCCCGCCACCCCGCCAGCCUUCCGCCCGCUCAGCCUCCGCUGCGUAAGGUCACCCCAGCGCCCCGCUCGUUAGCAGGAGGCCAGGAUUUGCCCUUUGAUUUAUUUAUGCACUGACAAAGACUCAAAAGUGUUGGAAGUGCAAUUUUUCACCACCAACUAAAAAUAGCCGAGUGAAAUUCCAGAGCUGCCUUUCAGCGCUGCCGGCUGCGCUCGGCUUACCAGGACAAUGGCAUUUGUAGGCUGCUAGCACCAACAGCACAGGCUGGGCUCCAGCUCCCUAAAUAACAAGCUAUAAAGGGCAAAAUCUGUCUUUGAUUACAGCUGUGCAAAAAGCAGCGAUUAAAAAGACCAUUAUCCAAAUACCUGAACGUGAGGUGCCAGCUUAAAACCGAGCCUGGGAAUGCUGUAAGAGUGGCAGGGACUUACUGUACAUGAAGUAAAAACGCAGCCAGCGUUACCGAGAGCAGAAGGCGCGUGCGGUUAAGCAUUUAGAAGGGCUGAAGCCCUCGGGCAC